UACGUAGGGGGCAAGCGUUGGUCCGGAAUCAUUGGGCGUAAAGAGCGUGUAGGCGGCCCGGUAAGUCCGCUGUGAAAGUCCAGGGCUCAACCCUGGGAUGCCGGUGGAUACUGUCGGGCUCGAGUCCGGAAGAGGAGUGUGGAAUUCCUGGUGUAGCGGUGAAAUGCGCAGAUAUCAGGAGGAAGACCAGUGGCGAAGGCGGGUCUCUGGACAGGUUCCUGACGCUGAGGCACGAAGGCCAGGGGAGCAAACGGGG
rnacentral:rRNA from 1 species